rnacentral:rRNA from 1 species
GACGAACGCUGGCGGCGUGCCUAAUACAUGCAAGUAGAACGCUGAAGGAGGAGCUUGCUCUUCUGGAUGAGUUGCGAACGGGUGAGUAACGCGUAGGUAACCUGCCUGGUAGCGUGGGAUAACUAUUGGAAACGAUAGCUAAUACCGCAUAAGAGUAGAUGUUUCAUGACAUUUACUUCAAAGGUUCAAUUGCAUCACUACCAGAUGGACCUGCGUUGUAUUAGCUAGUUGGUGGGGUAACGGCUUACCAAGGCGACGAUACAUAGCCGACCUGAGAGGGUGAUCGGCCACACUGGGACUGAGACACGGCCCAGAAUCCUACGGGAGGCAGCAGUAGGGAAUCUUCGGCAAUGGACGGAAGUCUGACCGAGCAACGCCGGGUGAGUGAAGAAGGUUUUCGGAUCGUAAAGCUCUGUUGUAAGAGAAGAACGAGUGUGAGAGUGGAAAGUUCACACUGUGACGGUAUCUUACCAGAAAGGGACGGCUAACUACGUG